rnacentral:lncRNA from 1 species
UAUAUUAUGAAGAAAAUGCCAUUAUUUUCCUGAUGUUGCAAAGAAAAGCUACAUAGCUUGCUCAAUAUGAUAUGCCUGCAAAUGAUGGAGGCAGAUAUGAAUCUAAAUAUUUUUGAUCCAGAGUCUGUGCUUUUGACUAUUGGACACUGAUCUAGAUGUCUAGAGUGCUGUGAUGUCUAGGGUGGAUCAAUGUGACAUGUGUGUGAGUAUGUGUGUGUUUGUGUACAGAUCAGAGGUAGAGGAAUGAGUAUCUUAGGAGACUGUGGAAAGAGUAUAGGUGUAAUCAGUAUAGUGGCCUGGGCUAUGGGACUGAACACUGAAUGACAAACGUUGAAUGACUCAGGGAGAGAAGAGUUUCAGGAAAUAGUCACUGACCUUCAGUGCUGAAGAAUGGUGAACUACUAGGUGGGCUGAAAAGUGUACCUUAGGCUUUUCAGCCUUGAGACUAUUGUUAUGGACAGACACUUUAAAUGGUAACAUACCACUUUUCAGCAACCAUAUAUGCUGCCACAGAUAAGUAAGAACAACUGUAUUGUAUCAUAUAAUUCUACUUUUCCAGGAAGGUAAGAUGACUCUGAAUAAACUAUGGUAGAAGGCUGUUAUUUCCUUCUGAGUCUUCAUUUUUUUCCAGUCUACUAAAAAUGUCAGCUACCAUAAUAUAAUCUAUGUCUGUAUUAAAACUUUUUAGAAGAUUAAUUUUAUAUAGCACAAUGUAUUCAUUUUUAUAUUUCAUUACUUAUAGUUGUCUUUUUCUGAGUAAAAUAUCUGCCAAGUAACACAUUAUUACAUAAAAUUAUAAUCUCUGUUCUCGGAACUAGGUAAUUUGCUUUCACAUAUAGGUCAAAGAAACUAUUUUGAUAGUAUUAGAAGUAAAAUAUAAUAGGUAUUAGUAUAUAUGGUUUUUAUUUUAAAAAAAUGACCUGCAAUAGAGUAUGGAAAAUAAGAAUUGAAUAGAGUGAGUUACUAACUAUCCUGGUAAAAUAAUAAUAGUUGCAAUUCUAACUGUCUCCAACAAUAUUUAUAAGGUCAAAAAAGGUAAUGGGAAUAGUGGAACGAUCUAAGGCAAGAGAGCAUAAAUGAAAAAAAACUGAGUCUCUUUUCCUUCAAGAAUUUAUAUGUGCCUUUUCAUCUUUGAAAAAGAAUGUAUAUUUAGUUCUUAAAAAAACUUUUAUUUAAAUUACAAUUAGUUAACAUACAGUGUAGUAUUAGUUUCAAGUGUGUAAUUUGGUGAUUCAACACUUACAUACAAAACCUGGUGCUCAUCACAAAUGCACUCCUUAAUCCUCAUUAUCUAUUUAACCUAUCUCCACACCUACCUCCUCUCUGGUUACCAUGAGUUUAUUCUCUAUAGUUAAGGGUCAUUUUCUUGGUUGGCCUCUCUCUUUCUUUUUUCCCCUUAUGAUUUUUGUUUUGUUUCUUAAGUUCCACGUAUGAAUAAAAUCACAUGGUAUUUGUCUUUCUCUGACUGACUUAUUUCACUUAGCAUAAUACUCUCUAGCUCCAUCCAUGUCAUUGCAAAUGGCAAGAGUUCAUUCUUUUUACGGCCGAGUAAUAUUCCAUCGUGUGUGUGUGUGUGUAUAUAUAUAUAUUUAUGUGUGUUGUGUGUGUAUAUACAUACACAUAUAUAUGAUAUUUAUAUAUUCCAGUGGUGUGUAUGUAUAUACACCCAUGCACCACAUCUUCUUUAUUCAUUCAUCAGUCAGUGGACACUUGGAUUGUUUCAUAAUUUGGCUAUUACAGAUAAUGCUGCUAAGAAACAUGGGGUGCAUGUAAACCUUUGAAUUUGUAUCAAAGUAUUCUUUGAAUUUGUAUCUUUGUAUUCUUUGGAUAAAUACCAAGUAGUACAAUUGAUGGAUUGUAGGGUAAUUCUAUUUUUAUGUUUUUGAGGAACUUCUGUACUGUUUUCCAGAGUGGCUGCACCAGUUUUCAUUCCCACCAACAACUGCACCAAAAACCACAAGAUACUGAGAAAUAAACCUAACCAAAGUAGUAAAAGACCUGUACUUUGAAAACUAUAAAACUAGAUGAAAGAAAUUGAAGAUGACACAAAGAAAGGGGAAAACACUCCAUGCUCAUGGAUUGGAAGAACAAACAUUGUUAAAAUGUCUGUAUUACGCAAAGUAAUCUACAUAUUUGAUGCAAUCCUUAUUAAACUGCCAUCACCAUUUUUCACAGAGCUACAACAAACAAUCCUAAAAUAAUAUGAAUCCAUAAAAGUCUCUAAAUAGCCAAAGCAAUCCUGAAAAAGGUAAACAAAACUGGAGGCAUCAUGAUUCGAGACUUCAAGCUAUAUUGGAAAGCUGUAGGCAUCAAGACAAUAUGGCAUUGGCAAAAAAACAGACACAUAGAUCAAUGGAACAGAACAGAGAACCCAAAAAUGGACCCACAACUAUAUGAUCAACUAAUAUUUGACAAAGCAGGAAAGAAUAUCCAAUGGAAAGAAGAUAGUCUCUUCAACAAGAGUUGGGUAAUUGGACAGCCACAUGCAGAAGAAUGAAACUGGACUACUUUCUGACACCAUACAGAAAAAUAAAUUCAGAAGGGUGAAAGACCUAAAUGUGAGACAGGAAACUAUUAAAAUCUUAGAGGAACUUAGGCAGCAACCUCUUUGACAUUGGCUACAGAACUUCUUACUAGACAUACAUGCCUCCUGAGACAAGAGAAACAAAAGAAAAAA